GACGAACGCUGGCGGCGUGCCUAACACAUGUAAGUCGCACGGGACCGGGGGCAACUCCGGUUCAGUGGCAGACGGGUGCGUAACACGUGAAGAACCUGUCCAACGGCGGGGGAUAGCCGGCCCAACGGCCGGGUAAUACCGCAUACGAUCGUUCGGGGGCAUCCCUGGGCGAUGAAAGCAGCCGCAAGGUUGCGCCGAUGGAGGGCUUCGCGGCCUAUCAGCUAGUUGGCGGGGUAACGGCCCACCAAGGCAACGACGGGUAGCUGGUCUGAGAGGAUGGCCAGCCACAUUGGGACUGAGACACGGUCCGGACACCUACGGGUGGCUGCAGCAACGAAUAUUCCGCAAUGGGCGCAAGCCUGACGGAGCGACGCCGCGUGCA
rnacentral:rRNA from 1 species